UUGAAACAAUGUUGUUUGUUUGGGGGACAUCCAGAAAUUUCAGUUUUAAAUAAUGAUAUAUUAGCUGCAGGUGUAACAGUACCUAUGCAUUUAUUGCUUCACAGUCUAGCAGUGUUUGUGAGAAAAACUGGUGGAUCCUGCAGAUUAACCAUGGACAGCCAAAUAUUGAGUAAAGUGAUGUCUACAACAGCAUCAGCUAUGCCUGAUAUGGUGUUAAUUCACAUUGUGAAGGAUUGCUAAAGUCCUAUUGCAUGCUUUAAGAUGCUUUGCGUUUGGUGAAUUGAAGCCUGAUAUGUCAACAUAUUCUCUGUAAACACAGCAGCACAGAGGGCAAAGAAACACUUAUCCAGCACCACAGCUAGGACAAAAGGAAUUAUUUUGACAGUAAAUGGACUUGCAGCUUAAGUUAAGUGCAUUAAUAUUGGGAUGGUAUUAACUAUACAAAAUUGUUUCUAAGCAAAGGUGACCAGAUGUCCUAAUUUGAC
rnacentral:lncRNA from 1 species